rnacentral:rRNA from 1 species
UACGGAGGGGGCGAGCGUUAUUCGGAAUUAUUGGGCGUAAAGGGCGCGUAGGCGGCGCGGUAAGUCAAAGGUGAAAUCCCUCGGCUCAACUGAGGAACUGCCUUCUGAGACUGCCAGGCACAGCGGAGGGGGUAGGCGAUCCAGUGUAGCGGUGAAAUGCGUAGAUAUUGGGGAGGAACACCAGUGGCGAAGGCGCUACCUGGACCGGGUUCUGACGCUGAUGCGCGAAAGCGUGGUAGCAACAGG